rnacentral:rRNA from 1 species
GUGGGGAAUAUUCCGCAAUGGACGAAAGUCUGACGGAGCAACGCCGCGUGAGUGAUGAAGGUUUUCGGACUGUAAAGCUCUGUUGUUUGGGACGAAAGUGCCUGUUGCGAACAGUUACGGGUAUUGACGGUACUAAACGAGGAAGCCACGGCUAACUACGUGCCAGCAGCCGCGGUAAUACGUAGGUGGCAAGCGUUGUCCGGAAUUAUUGGGCGUAAAGAGCAUGUAGGCGGGAAUCCAAGUGUGUUGUUAAAAUGCGGGGCUCAACCCCGUAUUGCGAUGGAAACUGGGUUUCUUGAGUGCAGGGGAGGAAAGAGGAAUGCCCAGUGUAGCGGUGAAAUGCGUAGAUAUUGGGAGGAACACCAGUGGCGAAGGCGCCUUUCUGGACUGUGUCUGACGCUGAGAUGCGAAAGCCAGGGUAGCGAACGGGAUUAGAAACCCCUGUAGUCC